UUGAUUAGAGUGGAAAAUUAAUCAAGUGACGGUAUCUAACCAGAAAGGGACGGCUAACUACGUGCCAGCAGCCGCGGUAAUACGUAGGUCCCGAGCGUUGUCCGGAUUUAUUGGGCGUAAAGCGAGCGCAGGUGGUUUAAUAAGUCUGAUGUAAAAGGCAGUGGCUCAACCAUUGUGUGCAUUGGAAACUGUUAGACUUGAGUGCAGUAGAGGAGAGUGGAAUUCCAUGUGUAGCGGUGAAAUGCGUAGAUAUAUGGAGGAACACCGGUGGCGAAAGCGGCUCUCUGGACUGUCACUGACACUGAGGCUCGAAAGCGUGGGUAGCAAACAGGAUUAGAUACCCUGGUAGUCCACGCCGUAAACGAUGAGUGCUAGUUGUUUGGGGCUAUCCAGCCCUAAGUGACGCAGCAAACGCAUUAAGCACUCCGCCUGGGGAGUACGACCGCAAGGUUGAAACUCAAAGGAAUUGACGGGGGCCCGCACAAGCGGUGGAGCAUGUGGUUUAAUUCGAAGCAACGCGAAGAACCUUACCAGGUCUUGACAUACUCGUGCUAUUCCUAGAGAUAGGAAGUUCCUUCGGGACACGGGAUACAGGUGGUGCAUGGUUGUCGUCAGCUCGUGUCGUGAGAUGUUGGGUUAAGUCCCGCAACGAGCGCAACCCUUAUUGUUAGUUGCCAUCAUUAAGUUGGGCACUCUAGCGAGACUGCCGGUAAUAAACCGGAGGAAGGUGGGGAUGACGUCAAAUCAUCAUGCCCCUUAUGACCUGGGCUACACACGUGCUACAAUGGUUGGUACAACGAGUCGCAAGACAGUGAUGUCAAGCUAAUCUCUUAAAGCCAAUCUCAGUUCGGAUUGUAGGCUGCAACUCGCCUACAUGAAGUCGGAAUCGCUAGUAAUCGCGGAUCAGCACGCCGCGGUGAAUACGUUCCCGGGCCUUGUACACACCGCCCGUCACACCACGAGAGUUUGUAAUACCCAAAGCCGGUGAGCUAACCUUUUAGGAGGCAGCCGUCUAAGGUAGGAUAGAUGAUUGGGGUGAAGUCGUAACAAGGUAGCCGUAUCGGAAGGUGCGGCUGGAUCACCUCCUUUCU
rnacentral:rRNA from 1 species